rnacentral:rRNA from 1 species
AUACGGAGGGUGCAAGCGUUGUUCGGAAUCACCGGGCGUAAAGGGCGCGCAGGCGGUUUGGUAAGUCAGAUGUGAAAGCCCACGGCUCAACCGUGGAAGUGCAUUUGAAACUGUCAGACUUGAGUACUAGAGGGGAAAGUGGAAUUCCCGGUGUAGAGGUGAAAUUCGUAGAUAUCGGGAGGAAUACCGGUGGCGAAGGCGACUUUCUGGCUAGAUACUGACGCUGAGGCGCGAAAGCGUGGGGAGCAAACAGGAUUAGAAACCCGGGUAGUCC